AUGUCAAGAACCCCCCAAAAGGCUCAAGAGGGUGUGAGGACGGAAGCUGAAGGUGAAAGAAAGUGGAGUCAAAGUGACAACUCACCCCCCCAUGUCCCUGGUUCUAUUGUGACGAGGGGUGUGCGGUGGCUUGUGACAUGUCUAACUAUUUGUAUCCCUCCAUCAAACUCUGCUGUCCCUCCUGUCAAUGUCCAUGCAUUCCACAGCAGAGCCCCCCAACCAUCCUCUCACCCACCCUGGUUCCAGCCCCAGCCACCCUAUCCCUGGUCCCAGCACCAACCCCAACCAUCCUCUCACCCACCCUGGUUCCAGCCCCAGCCACCCUAUCCCUGGUCUCAGCACCAACCCCAACCAUCCUCUCACCCACCCUGGUUCCAGCCCCAGCCACCCUAUCCCUGGUCCCAGCACCAACCCCAACCAUCCUCUAACCCACCCUGGUUCCAGCCCCAGCCACCCUAUCCCUGGUCCAAGCACCAACCCCAACCAUCCUCUCACCCUAACCCUGGUUCCAGCCCCAGCCACCCUAUCCCUGGUCUCAGCACCAACCCCAACCAUUCUCUCACCCAACCCUGGUUCCAGCCUCAGCCACCCUAUCCCUGGUCCCAGCACCAACCAUCCUCUCACCAACCCUGGUUCCAGCCCCAGCCACCCUAUCCCUGGUCCCAGCACCAACCAUCCUCUCACCAACCCUGGUUCCAGCCCCAGCCCCAGCCACCCUAUCCCUGGUCCCAGCACCAACCCCAACCAUUCUCUCACCCACCCUGGUUCCAGCCCCAGUCACCCUAUCCCUGGUCCCAGCACCAACCCCAAAGAUCCUCUCACCCACCCUGGUUCCAGCCCCAGCCACCCUAUCCCUGGUCCCAGCACCAACCCCAACCAUCCUCUCACCCACCCUGGUUCCAGCCCCAGCCACCCUAUCCCUGGUCCCAGCACCAACCCCAACCAUCCUCUCACCCACCCUGGUUCCAGCCCCAGCCACCCUAUCCCUGGUCCCAGUACCAACCCCAACCAUCCUCUCACCCACCCUGGUUCCAGCCCCAGCCACCCUAA
rnacentral:lncRNA from 1 species